AAUCAACGCUGGCGGCGUGCCUAACACAUGCAAGUCGAACGCGAAAGCCCGCAAGGGUAAGUAGAGUGGCGCACGGGUGAGUAACACGUGGACAACCUGCCUUCGAGUGGGGAAUAACCUUCCGAAAGGAGGGCUAAUACCGCAUAACACCUCGGGACACAAGUUCUGGGGUUGAAAAGAGCAAUUUGCUCGAAGAGGGGUCCGCGCCUGAUUAGCUAGUUGGUGAGGUAACGGCUCACCAAGGCUUCGAUCAGUAGCCGUCCUGAGAGGGAGCACGGCCACACUGGAACUGAGACACGGUCCAGACUCCUACGGGAGGCAGCAGUGGGGAAUUUUUGG
rnacentral:rRNA from 1 species